rnacentral:rRNA from 1 species
CCGGUUUGAACUCAGAUCAUGUCGCUUGUUUAUCAAAAACAUGUCUUUUUGUUAAAAAUAUAAAGUCUAACCUGCCCACUGAUAAAUAUUAAAGGGCCGCGGUAUAUUGACUGUGCAAAGGUAGCAUAAUCAUUUGUCUCUUAAUUGGAGGCUGGAAUGAAUGGUUGAAUGAAAUAUUAACUGUCUCAUUAUUAAAAAUUUAAAAAUUUAGCUUUUAAGUCAAAAGGCUUAAAUAAAUUUAGAGGACGAGAAGACCCUAUAGAUCUUUAUAUUUUGUUAAAAUUUAAUAAUUUGAAUAAUAUAAAUUAAAUUUUAUAAAAAUAUUUUAUUGGGGUGAUAGGAAAAUUAAAAAAACUUUUUUUAUUUUAAAACAUUGAUUUAUGAAAAAUUGAUCCAUUUUUAGUGAUUAUAAGAUUAAGUUACCUUAGGGAUAACAGCGUAAUUUUUUUAAAGAGUUCAUAUCGAUAAAAAAGAUUGCGACCUCGAUGUUGAAUUAAAGGUUAUUUCUAGAUGUAGCAGUUUAGAGUUUAGGUCUGUUCGACCUUUGAAUCUUUACAUGAUCUGAGUUCAAACCGGA